UGGACUAACUAGAAAAUUGCAAGACCAGAAAAAAGAUUCGGAGAAACGGGAAAAACAAAUGACCCAGAAAAUCAAAGAACUGGAGAGUCGUCUACUGUGUUCAGUGAGUAUAAAUGGCAUUCACAUUAACAUAUUGUUUGUUAUAGACGUGGCAAUUACAAAACAUCCUUACAUACUUGUUGGUUCGAUAAUGCCUUAAAGUGGUUUUAAUAAUGGAACGGAGAAUUAAAAACAUAAACCAGUUCAUUGACAACCAAUAAGCAUAUAUCGUAUCAGACU